GACACUAUCCUAAGUAAGGUGAGAAUGACUCUGCUCUCCUCCUACUAGGUCAACAUACCUGUCUAGCAAGUAAAUUUGGCCACUGGCCAGAAUAUGUGUGUAGCACGUAGCUUACUGUAAACCCCACAAUCUGUGCCAGAAAAACAAGAGAGGGAGGGAGGAGUGGAUUUUUACUGCUGUGUUCUCAGUGCAUUGUCACUGGAUAAAGAGUCAUUAUGCCCUUCCCCAUAGUUACUUAUUAAAUUAACCUCUUACACUUUCGUUUUGUGCACACUAUGAAGGAUGAAAUUGUUAUUGUUAUUAACCUUCCAGAGUUGUAAAAUUUUGUCUAUGUAAUCUGGCUCCAGGAAUUUACAUUCAGCGACAUGAUCAUUGGUCUCUCUCCAUCCAGAUCUACAUGUUGAACUGUAUCCGGCCCUCUGACAAACCCAAUGUCUACUGUCAACAUCUGCCCAUCUUGUUCUUCUAUAGUGUUAUUAUAACUAAUUUGAACAACAUAUCAGCUAAAAAACAAAUACAUACAAUACAUAGUCUUCAGAAUUUCCAAUUAUAACAACCUGUCAUGUUUGUCCAUGCAUGUAUGUUUCUCUCUCUCGUCCUUUCUG